GUUGUUGGGUAGGGGAGCGUUCUGUAAGCCUGCGAAGGUGGCCUGUGAGGGUUGCUGGAGGUAUCAGAAGUGCGAAUGCUGACAUAAGUAACGAUAAAGCGGGUGAAAAGCCCGCUCGCCGGAAGACCAAGGGUUCCUGUCCAACGUUAAUCGGGGCAGGGUGAGUCGACCCCUAAGGCGAGGCCGAAAGGCGUAGUCGAUGGGAAACGGGUUAAUAUUCCCGUACUUGGUGUUACUGCGAAGGGGGGACGGAGAAGGCUAUGUUGGCCGGGCGACGGUUGUCCCGGUUUAAGCGUGUAGGUGUGUGUUCCAGGUAAAUCCGGUUCACUUUAACACUGAGGCGUGAUGACGAGGCACUACGGUGCUGAAGCAACAAAUGCCCUGCUUCCAGGAAAAGCCUCUAAGCAUCAGGUAACAUCAAAUCGUACCCCAAACCGACACAGGUGGUCAGGUAGAGAAUACCAAGGCGCUUGAGAGAACUCGGGUGAAGGAACUAGGCAAAAUGGUGCCGUAACUUCGGGAGAAGGCACGCUGACACGUAGGUGAAGUGAUUUACUCAUGGAGCUGAAGUCAGUCGAAGAUACCAGCUGGCUGCAACUGUUUAUUAAAAACACAGCACUGUGCAAACACGAAAGUGGACGUAUACGGUGUGACGCCUGCCCGGUGCCGGAAGGUUAAUUGAUGGGGUCAGCGCAAGCGAAGCUCCUGAUCGAAGCCCCGGUAAACGGCGGCCGUAACUAUAACGGUCCUAAGGUAGCGAAAUUCCUUGUCGGGUAAGUUCCGACCUGCACGAAUGGCGUAAUGAUGGCCAGGCUGUCUCCACCCGAGACUCAGUGAAAUUGAACUCGCUGUGAAGAUGCAGUGUACCCGCGGCAAGACGGAAAGACCCCGUGAACCUUUACUAUAGCUUGACACUGAACAUUGAGCCUUGAUGUGUAGGAUAGGUGGGAGGCUUUGAAGUGUGGACGCCAGUCUGCAUGGAGCCGACCUUGAAAUACCACCCUUUAAUGUUUGAUGUUCUAACGUGGACCCGUAAUCCGGGUUGCGGACAGUGUCUGGUGGGUAGUUUGACUGGGGCGGUCUCCUCCUAAAGAGUAACGGAGGAGCACGAAGGUUGGCUAAUCCUGGUCGGACAUCAGGAGGUUAGUGCAAUGGCAUAAGCCAGCUUGACUGCGAGCGUGACGGCGCGAGCAGGUGCGAAAGCAGGUCAUAGUGAUCCGGUGGUUCUGAAUGGAAGGGCCAUCGCUCAACGGAUAAAAGGUACUCCGGGGAUAACAGGCUGAUACCGCCCAAGAGUUCAUAUCGACGGCGGUGUUUGGCACCUCGAUGUCGGCUCAUCACAUCCUGGGGCUGAAGUAGGUCCCAAGGGUAUGGCUGUUCGCCAUUUAAAGUGGUACGCGAGCUGGGUUUAGAACGUCGUGAGACAGUUCGGUCCCUAUCUGCCGUGGGCGCUGGAGAACUGAGGGGGGCUGCUCCUAGUACGAGAGGACCGGAGUGGACGCAUCACUGGUGUUCGGGUUGUCAUGCCAAUGGCACUGCCCGGUAGCUAAAUGCGGAAGAGAUAAGUGCUGAAAGCAUCUAAGCACGAAACUUGCCCCGAGAUGAGUUCUCCCUGAGACUUAGAGUCUCCUGAAGGAACGUUGAAGACGACGACGUUGAUAGGCCGGGUGUGUAAGCGCAGCGAUGCGUUGAGCUAACCGGUACUAAUGAACCGUGAGGCUUAACCUUACAACGCCGAAG
rnacentral:rRNA from 2 species